GCUAUCUAUUUUCUAAGUUAUUCUAAGCUGUACAAAGUCAAAGAACAAUAAGACUAGAGUAGCAGGUGUUCAUUGAUUUAUAUAGAAGAAGCGGUGGAAGAGCAGUAAUUCUUGUCGCGGCAAUGAAACGGUGUAAAAUAAAUCGGCCAAACAAUUUGUCGUAAAUUACUUCCGAUCAUGAUUGUGCCUUCAUUUACGUGUGGAACGAUGUCGCAAUGUUGUUGGAUUUUCACAAUAAAAUGCUUAGAAGUGGAACGAAAUGGAAGGUCAGACGCGCGUUAAAACGAAGAAGGUCAAUAAAUAUGACUUCUCGGUAGUUGCGUUAUGCAUCAUAAUUACACUGGUUUUUCCUUUUCGUUAAUUGUAAAUUCCUGUUACAUACAGCGCUACAAAUACAUAAAUAAGGGUUCUGGCUGAGAAGUCACAUUCUCGCUUUGAGCUUUGCACAUGUGAGAGCCUGCUUCAAGCAUUUUAAUAAAACUAUUCCUAUUAUUCUCUUUGAAAUAUAAAAUUCUGCUUUAUUCGUGGAACACCUGGUUAACUAGAUCACUGGAAGCGAUCUAAAAACCAUAAAACAAAGAAACUCAUUUGAAAUUGUGCAAGACGAAAUAAAAAUUUAAGUACUAAGCUUAAGAACUUAAAGGAUUGAAAAAUAUUCAUGUAUAAAUAGUAGAGAGAAAUUUGUAUGAAUUAUUAGUGACACAAAUAGUAAAUCUGUAUCAUUCGCUUUA